rnacentral:rRNA from 1 species
CAGUCGCCGCGGUAAUACGUAGGGUGCGAGCGUUAAUCGGAAUUACUGGGCGUAAAGCGUGCGCAGGCGGUUCGUUAAGACAGAUGUGAAAUCCCCGGGCUUAACCUGGGAACUGCAUUUGUGACUGACGGGCUAGAGUAUGGCAGAGGGGGGUAGAAUUCCACGUGUAGCAGUGAAAUGCGUAGAGAUGUGGAGGAAUACCGAUGGCGAAGGCAGCCCCCUGCGCCAAUACUGACGCUCAUGCACGAAAGCGUGGGGAGCAAACAGGAUUAGAUACCCGCGUAGUCCCUGUCUCUUAUAC